CGAAUCUUCCGCAAUGCGCGAAAGCGUGACGGAGCGAUGCCGCGUGCAGGAUGAAGCCCCUCGGGGUGUAAACUGCUGUCAGGGAUUAGCAACACAAUGAGCAGUCCCAAAGGAAGAGACGACUAACUCUGUGCCAGCAGUCGCGGUAAUACAGAGGUCUCGAGCGUUAGUCGGAAUCACUGGGCUUAAAGCGUACGUAGGCGGAUCUGCAGGCGUCGUGUGAAAUACCUCGGCUCAACCGAGGAACUGCACGGCGAACCGCAGGUCUUGAGACGAGUAGGGGCGGUCGGAACGAUAGGUGGAGUGGUGAAAUGCGUUGAUAUCUAUCGGAACGCCGAAGGUGAAGACAGGCCGCUGGGCUCGUUCUGACGCUGAGGUACGAAAGCGUGGGGAGCAAACGGGA
rnacentral:misc_RNA from 1 species